UACGGAAGGUGCGAGCGUUAAUCGGAAUUACUGGGCGUAAAGCGCACGUAGGUGGUUUUAUAAGUCGGAUGUGAAAGCCCCGGGCUUAACCUGGGAAUUGCAUCCGAGACUGUCUGACUCGAAUAUGCUAGAGGGAAGUGGAAUUCCAGGUGUAGCGGUGAAAUGCGUAGAUAUCUGGAGGAACACCAAUGGCGAAGGCAACUUCCUGGGGCAAUACUGACACUGAUGUGCGAAAGCGUGGGGAGCAAACAGG
rnacentral:rRNA from 1 species